rnacentral:rRNA from 1 species
UAGGGAAUCUUCCGCAAUGGACGAAAGUCUGACGGAGCAACGCCGCGUGAGUGAAGAAGGAUUUCGGUUCGUAAAACUCUGUUGUUAGGGAAGAAAAAAUGUAUAGUAACUAUAUACAAAAGAGACGGUACCUAACCAGAAAGCCACGGCUAACUACGUGCCAGCAGCCGCGGUAAUACGUAGGUGGCAAGCGUUGUCCGGAAUUAUUGGGCGUAAAGCGCGCGCAGGUGGUUUAGAAAGACUGAUGUGAAAGCCCACGGCGCAACCGUGGAGGGUCAUUUGAAACUAAUAAACUUGAGUGCAGGAGAGAAAAGUGGAAUUCCUAGUGUAGCAGUGAAAUGCGUAGAGAUUAGGAGGAACACCGGUGGCGAAAGCGGCUUUUUGGCCUGCAACUGACACUGAGGCGCGAAAGCGUGGGGAGCAAACAGG